rnacentral:rRNA from 1 species
UACGGAGGGGGCUAGCGUUGUUCGGAAUUACUGGGCGUAAAGCGCACGUAGGCGGCUUUGUAAGUUAGAGGUGAAAGCCCGGGGCUCAACUCCGGAAUUGCCUUUAAAACUGCAUCGCUAGAAUUGUGGAGAGGUGAGUGGAAUUCCGAGUGUAGAGGUGAAAUUCGUAGAUAUUCGGAAGAACACCAGUGGCGAAGGCGGCUCACUGGACACAUAUUGACGCUGAGGUGCGAAAGCGUGGGGAGCAAACAGG